GGGGGGGGGGGGGGGGGGGGGGGGGGGAGGGAGGGGGAAGGGAGGGGGCGUGCGUGUGGGGGGGGCGCGAGUGGCGAACGGGUGAGUAACACGUGAGUAACCUGCGCUUGACUUUGGGAUAACUUCAGGAAACUGGGGCUAAUACCGGAUAGGGGCUCCUGCUGCAUGGUGGGGGUUGGAAAGUUUCGGCGGUUGGGGAUGGACUCGCGGCUUAUCAGCUUGUUGGUGGGGUAGUGGCUUACCAAGGCUUUGACGGGUAGCCGGCCUGAGAGGGUGACCGGCCACAUUGGGACUGAGAUACGGCCCAGACUCCUACGGGAGGCAGCAGUGGGGAAUAUUGCACAAUGGGCGGAAGCCUGAUGCAGCAACGCCGCGUGCGGGAUGACGGCCUUCGGGUUGUAAACCGCUUUCGCCUGUGACGAAGCGUGAGUGACGGUAAUGGGUAAAGAAGCACCGGCUAACUACGUG
rnacentral:rRNA from 1 species